GCGUAGCUGGAGCUUCAGAACCGUGCAUAACUGUGCCACUAUAUCCCUGUGGUCUGUUGAAGAAUGAAGAGGAAAACACUUGAACGUUAAAGAGAGAAGAAUCUCCCUGAAUUGAACAAAUGUGUCACUUUUGAAUAAGGAUUCAUGAAAAGGCAGAAAAGGAGAAGAAAAAAGAAUAAAGGAUUAAUGGUGUUGACUUCACUGUUGGACAAAUCUAUUGCAAGUGAAAAGGAG
rnacentral:lncRNA from 1 species